UACGUAGGGGGCAAGCGUUAUCCGGAAUUAUUGGGCGUAAAGAGCUCGUAGGCGGUUUGUCGCGUCUGCUGUGAAAACCCGAGGCUCAACCUCGGGCCUGCAGUGGAUACGGGCAGACUAGAGUGCGGUAGGGGAGAAUGGAAUUCCUGGUGUAGCGGUGGAAUGCGCAGAUAUCAGGAGGAACACCGAUGGCGAAGGCAGUUCUCUGGGCCGUAACUGACGCUGAGGAGCGAAAGCGUGGGGAGCGAACAGG
rnacentral:rRNA from 1 species